GACUACUGGGGUAUCUAAUCCUGUUUGCUCCCCACGCUUUCGUGCAUGAGCGUCAGUGCAGGCCCAGGGGAUUGCCUUCGCCAUCGGUGUUCCUCCGCAUAUCUACGCAUUUCACUGCUACACGCGGAAUUCCAUCCCCCUCUGCCGCACUCUAGCUAUACAGUCACUAAUGCAGUUCCCAGGUUGAGCCCGGGGAUUUCACAUCUGUCUUAUAUAACCGCCUGCGCACGCUUUACGCCCAGUAAUUCCGAUUAACGCUUGCACCCUACGUAUUACCGCGGCUGCUGGCACGUAGUUAGCCGGUGCUUAUUCUUACGGUACCGUCAUGAGCCUUCUUUAUUAGAAAAGACCUUUUCGUUCCGUACAAAAGCAGUUUACAACCCGAAGGCCUUCAUCCUGCACGCGGCAUGGCUGGAUCAGGCUUUCGCCCAUUGUCCAAAAUUCCCCACUGCAGCCCCCCGUAGG
rnacentral:rRNA from 1 species